rnacentral:misc_RNA from 1 species
CAAUUUGAGAAAUAUUAUUACUCUUUUUUUUCCAAAGGUACAAUUUCAUUGCAAGGCCUCAAGAAGGCAAAAAGAGAUUACAAAGUUGACUUGCUUCAAAGAAUUACAAUAAAAGAAAUCAUCAAGCACAUUUGUUGAUUAGACAAUGAGCUGCCAUGUUUCUUAUCCUAUUGACAUGCUAAAAAGAGACGUAAGCUAAAGCUGAACUCAAUUGCAAAAUAUCAAGAACAAUGCUUACAAUGCAUGCUCUGCCUAACUUGAAUUCCUGACAAGGAGUCAGCUUCAAUGAUCACUUGCCCAAAUCCUCUUGAUGCAGCUAAAUGGACAGCUUCCCUACGUGCAAGAACUUCUAGGCUAUGUAAGUAGCCAUCCCAAAGGCAUACCAUUGGAGGAAGAAGAAGACUCUCUCAUAGGUAAUGAAAUAUAUAUAUAUAUAUAUUGUAACAGCAAAAUAUUACCAGCAUAGCU